CUUGCAGUAAAUUUGCAUUAAGUAGUGGCAAUUAUUUGUAUUUAUUAAUGUGUUUGCUCGUUGUCUAAGACCAGACAAGGAGCUUGAAUUUAACAUUAGUAUUUUCAUCCUGACUGGAGGCUGUACUGUAGAUGGCACCUUUGAUCCAGUACCUUAAUCAAUUAUUUAAAUCCUACACAAAUAUAUACUCAACAUGGAGCUUAUUCUGUCAAUAGGUUCUGGGCAAACAUCUUGACCUGUUUCUGAACAGACUUCCAACCUAAAGAAAUAUUGGCUAACUGUCAUGGAAAUGAUUUAGCAGUGGCGGACAAGUAUUCCUAUCCUAAUGUAGUGGACAUAGAAAUACCCUACCCUAAGAACCUUUGACACAAUUAAUACUUGCGUAUCAAAAGUAAAAAAUACUAAUAUUGUAACCCCCAUGUUUUGGUAUGAAGUCACAUUCUAUUUUUUUAUGCAAAGUAAGCCCUGUCGGUCAAGGAUCCUAUUUUGGUUCACCUAUAAUAUUAUGUAUAAGGGUUUUUAUUUUAACUCAAUACAGGCCAAUCCCGUUUUUAUUUUAACUGAAUACAGGCCAAUCCCUUGUACAAAUAUUUUCUUUGACAUGUAGUGGAUUAAAAAAGUAUUUCCCUAAAUCCUUAUGAAAUUGAAUUCCUUAAGCACCUUAUGAAUAUCUCUGGAUUGUACUUGGUGUAGGACUUUCCACCAGUGCACUUCAGCACAACUAGAAGAAUUCAUGCUACAGAAACCCUCAAUAACACUGAAAGCUCCAGAGGGAGGCCCGUGUGCUAGAAGCCGCCCUCUGUAGCCCUCUAUCUCUCUCUUUCACCCCCCUUUCUCCCCCGCAGACAAAGCAAUUGUUGUCUUUACACUCGUAAGCCUAUCUGUAAAAUAACCGCUGUUUGUUGUAUCUUUUCACACGUCAAACUCAUUCAACCUUGAGGAAACACACACACGCACACAUCAACACACUCCUUUUGUUAAUAACAUGGUCACCCAAGUCCAUCUGCCAAAUUAAUUGUUUACGUUUUUAUAAUGCUUGUAAAGUAAUUUAUAUGAUACUGCUUUUGUAUGACGAUAGAUGGGACUAUAUUUCAAGUGGUUUGACUUUCAUACGUGUCAUUUAGAUAGAGAACAACUUGAAUAACAUGCAACAAACUAGUGUGCUAGCUCACUCAUAGGCCUCUUUGUGUCAACAAGAUUUAGCAAAAAUGUACUAGAAAAUAUAAUAGCUUUUGGUAGCUCUUUGUUAAUAGUCCUACUUGAUGUGUCGUAUCAUGUUUAUAAAAUGUCUGAAAUAAACAAAUGUAAAUCUGUUUGGAUGUCUUGUUGCAGAACAUUUCCGUGUACAAUGUAUGGCUGGAUUUAUAGACUUAUUUGUCAUGCGCUUUUGGUACAACAACAUAGGC
ensembl:lncRNA